GAUGAACGCUGGCGGCGUGCCUAAUACAUGCCAGUCGAGCGAACAGAUAAGGAGCUUGCUCCUUUGACGUUAGCGGCGGACGGGUGAGUAACACGUGGGUAACCUACCUAUAAGACUGGAAUAACUCCGGGAAACCGGGGCUAAUGCCGGAUAACAUUUAGAACCGCAUGGUUCUAAAGUGAAAGAUGGUUUUGCUAUCACUUAUAGAUGGACCCGCGCCGUAUUAGCUAGUUGGUAAGGUAACGGCUUACCAAGGCAACGAUACGUAGCCGACCUGAGAGGGUGAUCGGCCACACUGGAACUGAGACACGGUCCAGACUCCUACGGGAGGCAGCAGUAGGGAAUCUUCCGCAAUGGGCGAAAGCCUGACGGAGCAACGCCGCGUGAGUGAUGAAGGUCUUCGGAUCGUAAAACUCUGUUAUUAGGGAAGAACAAAUGUGUAAGUAACUGUGCACGUCUUGACGGUACCUAAUCAGAAAGCCACGGCUAACUACGU
rnacentral:rRNA from 1 species